rnacentral:rRNA from 2 species
CAACUUUCAACAACGGAUCUCUUGGCUCUCGCAUCGAUGAAGAACGCAGCGAAAUGCGAUAAGUAAUGUGAAUUGCAGAAUUCAGUGAAUCAUCGAAUCUUUGAACGCACCUUGCGCCCUUUGGCAUUCCGAAGGGCACACCUGUUUGAGUGUCGUGA